rnacentral:rRNA from 1 species
GACGAACGCUGGCGGCGUGCUUAACACAUGCAAGUCGAACGGAAAGGCCCCUUCGGGGGUACUCGAGUGGCGAACAGGUGAGUAACACGUGAGUAACCUGCCCUUGACUUCGGGAUAACUUCAGGAAACUGGGGCUAAUACCGGAUAGGAAUCCUUGCUGCAUGGUGGGGGUUGGAAAGCUUCGGCGGUUUUGGAUGGACUCGCGGCUUAUCAGCUUGUUGGUGGGGUAGUGGCUUACCAAGGCUUUGACGGGUAGCCGGCCUGAGAGGGCGACCGGCCACAUUGGGACUGAGAUACGGCCCAGACUCCUACGGGAGGCAGCAGUGGGGAAUAUUGCACAAUGGGCGGAAGCCUGAUGCAGCACCGCCGCGUGCGGGAUGACGGCCUUCGGGUUGUAAACCGCUUUCAGCAGGGGCGAAGCUUGUGGUGACGGUACCUGCAGAAGAAGCACCGGCUAACUACGUG